GGCUCUCUGGCGAUGUGGUUAGCGCGGGUGACUCUUACCCGGGAGUCUGAGGUUCAAUUCCUUGCCUGGGCCC